GCUUGCAGUAAUUAAGCCUUGCUGCAAAGAGCACUCCCGCGUUUGUCAUCUCCGAGAAGUUAAGGGCAGCAGCUCCGCUCCGGCUGGAGAGGCUGUGCAGAAGUGCCCGUCCGGGAUCUUCCAAACCCAUCUCCCGCAAGCACUACAGAAAAGCGCCAAAACGCCCGCAGCGCGCUCCGGGCGGCCGGAGCCGCCGCGUCCCCCGUGCCGUGCCCAGUACCUGGAAGGUUUUACGUUCCUGCCUCCCUGACAGCUGUUUUGUCUCACAACAUUUUCAAACACAUGGGAGACGAUUUUCUCUUCAAUUGCUCCUGAUAUCAGCCUUGAGUCAUGGACCACUCCAAGUGUGGUGAAGGACAUCCCUGAUUUGUGGCACUGUGGCAGCAAGACAGCUUGGUGAAGAUCUGAAAGAAAAAGAGCGUGGCUGUAGAAUUGGACCCCUAAAACCUAUUAAUUUCUUUGAAGGGACUUAUUCGGAAGAAAGUUAAUAAAAACUGCAUGGAAAAACCAGCAUCACAGCUAUUUUUUUUUUUUUUUGGUCCGAAAUUCCUGCAGGAAAGUUAGCCGAAUGCAAAAAGUAUCAAAAAACAGAGAAG